rnacentral:rRNA from 1 species
UGGGGAAUAUUGCACAAUGGGCGCAAGCCUGAUGCAGCCAUGCCGCGUGUAUGAAGAAGGCCUUCGGGUUGUAAAGUACUUUCAGCGAGGAGGAAGGCGGUAAGGUUAAUAACCUUAUCGAUUGACGUUACUCGCAGAAGAAGCACCGGCUAACUCCGUGCCAGCAGCCGCGGUAAUACGGAGGGUGCAAGCGUUAAUCGGAAUUACUGGGCGUAAAGCGCACGCAGGCGGUCUGUCAAGUCGGAUGUGAAAUCCCCGGGCUCAAACUGGGAACUGCAUUCGAAACUGGCAGGCUAGAGUCUUGUAGAGGGGGGUAGAAUUCCAGGUGUAGCGGUGAAAUGCGUAGAGAUCUGGAGGAAUACCGGUGGCGAAGGCGGCCCCCUGGACAAAGACUGACGCUCAGGUGCGAAAGCGUGGGGAGCAAACA